rnacentral:pre_miRNA from 1 species
GGCCACGAGUGUUGACAGAAGGACCCAGAGCUCGGAAGAGAGCGCGUGACCUUGUACUCACCGAGGAG